rnacentral:ribozyme from 1 species
GAGAGAAAGAGAGAGAGAGAGAGAAAGAGAGUGCGUGCGAAAGAGAAGCCACUGAAGUUCAUGUUCUAACUCUUCUUCUUCUUUUUUGUUUUUUGUUUUAUUUAU